UACGUAGGGGGCAAGCGUUGUCCGGAAUUACUGGGCGUAAAGGGUGCGUAGGCGGUUGCUCAAGUCAGAUGUGAAAUACCCGGGCUUAACCUGGGGGGUGCAUUUGAAACUGGGUGAGUAGAGUGCAGGAGAGGAAAGCGGAAUUCCUGGUGUAGCGGUGGAAUGCGUAGAUAUCAGGAGGAACACCGGUGGCGAAGGCGGCUUUCUGGACUGUAACUGACGCUGAGGCACGAAAGCGUGGGGAGCAAACAGG
rnacentral:rRNA from 1 species